rnacentral:rRNA from 1 species
UACGAAGGGGGCUAGCGUUGCUCGGAAUUACUGGGCGUAAAGGGCGCGUAGGCGGCACUGUUAGUCAGGCGUGAAAUUCCUGGGCUCAACCUGGGGACUGCGCUUGAUACGGCAGAGCUAGAGGAUGGAAGAGGGUCGCGGAAUUCCCAGUGUAGAGGUGAAAUUCGUAGAUAUUAGGAAGAACACCAGUGGCGAAGGCGGCUCACUGGCCCGGUACUGACGCUGAGGCGCGAAAGCGUGGGGAGCAAACAGG